GACGAACGCUGGCGGCGUGCUUAACACAUGCAAGUCGAACGGAAAGGCCCUGCUUUUGUGGGGUGCUCGAGUGGCGAACGGGUGAGUAACACUUGAGUAACCUGCCCUUGACUUUGGGUUAACUUCAGGAAACUGGGGCUAAUACCGGAUAGGAGCUCCUGCUGCAUGGUGGGGGUUGGAAAGUUUCGGCGGUUGGGGAUGGACUCGCGGCUUAUCAGCUUGUUGGUGGGGUAGUGGCUUACCAAGGUUUUGACGGGUAGCCGGCCUGAGAGGGUGACCGGCCACAUUGGGACUGAGAUACGGCCCAGACUCCUACGGGAGGCAGCAGUGGGGAAUAUUGCACAAUGGGCGGAAGCCUGAUGCAGCAACGCCGCGUGCGGGAUGACGGCCUUCGGGUUGUAAACCGCUUUCGCCUGUGACGAAGCGUGAGUGACGGUAAUGGGUAAAGAAGCACCGGCUAACUACGUG
rnacentral:rRNA from 1 species